UACGUAGGGGGCAAGUGUUGUCCGGAUUUAUUGGGCGUAAAGAGCGUGUAGGCGGCUUUACAGGUCCGUUGUGAAAACUCGAGGCUCAACCUCGAGACGCCGGUGGAAACCGUAAAGCUAGAGUCCGGAAGAGGAGAGUGGAAUUCCUGGUGUAGCGGUGAAAUGCGCAGAUAUCAGGAAGAACACCCGUGGCGAAGGCGGCUCUCUGGGACGGUACUGACGCUGAGACGCGAAAGCGUGGGGAGCAAACAGG
rnacentral:rRNA from 1 species